AUUGAACGCUAGCGGGAUGCCUUACACAUGCAAGUCGAACGGAGUGGCGAACGGGUGAGUAAUGUCUCGGAACCUGCCCAGUAGCGGGGGAUAACUACGGGAAAGGGGAGCUAAUACCGCAUACUAUUAGAGCAGCCGAUGUCGGAUUAGCUAGUUGGGGGGGUAAAGGCCUACCAAGGCGACGAUCCGUAGCUGGUCUGAGAGGACGACCAGCCACACUGGAACUGAGACACGGCCCAGACUCCUACGGGAGGCAGCAGUGGGGAAUAUUGGACAAUGGGGGAAACCCUGAUCCAGCCAUGCCGCGUGUGCGAUGAAGGCCUUCGGAUUGUAAAGCACUUUAGGCAGGAAAGCGGUACCUGCAGAAUAAGCACCGGCUAACUACGUGCCAGCAGCCGCGGUAAUUC
rnacentral:rRNA from 1 species